AUAACCGCAUUUCAUAUAGUGUAGAGCUUUUAUGAAACUCGAAAAUCUGCACAAGUCUGCAAUGCAUUAAGGGUAGGGAUGUAGCUUUAAAAUUCCUGUUAAAAUGAUUUAAUCACACUGCCCAUCUGGGUAAUCAAAGUGUCCAUGCAGCUGGCGACGGUCCUUCCUCUUUCUCGGAAAUAACGUUGUAUUUUGGAACUACGGCGUAUUUUGUUUGUUUUUGCCUCCUAUCUGACGGUCAGGCUUGGAAACCUCCCGCCCGGGAAAGGGCACCGUGCUGUCACCGUCAGAUGAAACUCUUCAAAAGAGCCCCCCUUUGCCUCGAUGACAGCAUCGCAGCCUCUUGGCAUUCUCUCAGCCAGCUUCCAGAUGUGGCCACCUGAAUACUUCUCCAACAGUCCUGAAGGAGUUUCCACAAAUUCUGGGCACAAAUUGGUUACCUUGCUCUUACUAUUCAAUGCAGCUCAUCCUAAGCCGGCUCUUUAGGGUUUAGGUUGGGGGGUGUGGGGCCCAGGUCAUCUGUCACAACACUUCAUCUCUUUCUUUGUUCACAGGAUAAUACUUACUACAUGACUUGAGGUGUUGGAGAUCCUCCCCACUGAGAAGAGCGAUGAGAGAUUCUGUCCUCCCUGGUGGGAUCUGCUUAUUAUUCCAGCUCUCGUGGCUGGUGGCUCAUUGUCAGCCAUUGUUCUGCAGCCCCGUCUCCAUGCUAACUUUAAAAGGAGAGAGCAGCUGUUGCAUAACUUUUAAUUUCCUGUCCUGGAGCCUACAAAUCGAGAUAAAUUAUGACUAAUAUUAGCACUCCGCUAUGUGCGGGAAAAUGAGCUGCAGACGUCACGCCCCUUAAAGUUAAAUUGUUGCUGAUUAUGGUCAUUUUGUGCAAUGUUUCCUGUAAACACUGAAAUAAAUACGUACCUAUGCUUUUUAAAUGUAUUAUUCCCUGUAGGUCAAAUCCCGCCAAGUGCUGCUGUGAUCAAUCGUGUUCCCAUGGAUGAAACGCAUUACCCUGACCCCUGUCAACUCUCAUGCUGCAAUUGCGCUCCUUUUCGGUGCCUGUUUAUGUAUUUUAAUUUGUUUUCUUUAAUAAAAC